CGUUAUGGCGGCUGUGCGCGGGAGACUUUCGAGUCUGCCGGGUAUUCCUUCUACCUUGGUUUCCAGCCCGCGCACAGCUGCCACCCUC
rnacentral:antisense_RNA from 1 species